CGGUAAAACCAGCACCUCAAGUGGUCAGGAGGAUUAUUGGGCCUAAAGCAUCCGUAGCCGGCUCUGUAAGUUUUCGGUUAAAUCUAUAUGCUCAACAUAUAGGCUGCCGAAAAUACUGCACAGCUAGGGAAUGGGAGAGGUAGACGGUACUCGGUAGGAAGGGGUAAAAUCCUUUGAUCUAUCGAUGACCACCUGUGGCGAAGGCGGUCUACCAGAACAUGUUCGACGGUGAGGGAUGAAAGCUGGGGGAGCAAACCGGAUUAGAUACCCGGGUAGUCCCAGCUGUAAACGAUGCAGACUCGAUAAUGCACUGGCACAUAGCCAGUGCAGUGUCGCAGGGAAGCCGUUAAGUCUGCCGCCUGGGAAGUACGUACGCAAGUAUGAAACUUAAAGGAAUUGGCGGGGGAGCACCACAAGGGGUGAAGCCUGCGGUUCAAUUGGAGUCAACGCCAGAAAUCUUACCCGGAGAGACAGCAGAAUGAAGGUCAGGCUGAAGACCUUACCAGACAAGCUGAGAGGUGGUGCAUGGCCGUCGUCAGCUCGUGCCGUGAGAUGUCCUGUUAAGUCAGGUAACGAGCGAGAUCCCUGCCAUUAGUUGCCAUCACUACUCUCAGGAGUAGUGGGGCGAAUUAAUGGGACCGCCGUAGUUAAUACGGAGGAAGGAAGGGGCCACGGCAGGUCAGUAUGCCCCGAAACUCUGGGGCCGCACGCGGGCUGCAAUGGUAGUGACAAUGGGUUCCUAACUCGAAAGAGAGCGGCAAUCCCAAAACGCUACCACAGUUAUGACUGAGGGCUGUAACUCGCCCUCACGAAUAUGGAAUCCCUAGUAACUGCGUGUCAUUAUCGCGCGGUGAAUACGUCCCUGCUCC
rnacentral:rRNA from 1 species